UUAAAAUAAAAAGUAUAAAUACUACAAUUAACCUAUUUUAGCAAUAAAUAUAAUAUCCUUAAGCAAAAAAUAAACAAAAUUAUUAACAUUCUUAUCCCUAAAACUGCUUCUAAAAAAUUUGAAGCGACAACACCGGAGCUUUAGCGCCUGAGCCAUACGCGUAGUGUCAUCUGUCAAACGGCUUUUUGUUUAUUUUGGGGAUUCGUGUAUUUUCUUUAAUUUUUUGGUUUCAAAAGGAAAAAGGCCACAUUUUAGUGUUUUUUUAAAUUGCUAGGAUGGCAAAAACUUGUGUCGUUUGUGCCGCAUCAUGAUAAAAAGGUAAUUCAAGCCGAUCCUCUCACAAAUUGCCUAAUAUAUGCCCAAAGGGAACAAUGGAUUUCAUUAAUGGAAAUCAACACAAUUAAAAAGAACAUAUUUGUUUGUUCAGAUCACAUCCUUAGAAGUGAUUUCUUAUAUAAGGGAGAUAAUAUUAUCAGUAGCCAGACUUUAUUAAAAAAAUCAGCUCUACCUUAAAGGAUUUCUGAUGCACUGGUUAAAAACACAGCAGCCGAUAAUUCAGUUAAUUUACCAAGUGAUUUACCCUUCAAAGCUGCAGGGGUAGUUUUCUUGAAGAGUGCAAAAACUUCUUUAGAUUCCAAAAUGGUAUAUAGUACAAAUAGUGAAGCUAAUAUACACAAGUAUGGAUAAUUAAAAUAGAUUAAUAUUCUUGAUACACCAAAUUUUGUAUAAUUACAGAUCUGAUCAUUCAUCAACAAUAACUGCAUCUGAGAUUAAUUGUUACUGUCUAGGUCUAGGUCAACAAUUACUAUUUCUCAUCCAAGCCGUUUUUGUUUAACUGCUACACAUUCCCUGACUCUGCCAAGGAAAAGGUAAAAAUACACUCAAAAUAGACUACUAGUUUUAUGCCAUGUAUCAUCCUAUUCUAUAUAUCUUAUUUAAAAGUGAUAUAGUAUUUUAUUGUGUUAUAUUUGUUUAAUUAAAUGGAAUUAAUCAAAUGUAUGAUAUUACAAAGAUUCUUUAUAAUAACAUACAUUUUAUUGAUCAAUUGGAUUAUCAUAAUACAUUUUUUAAUUUUUUUCUUUUUAAUUUUGGUAAUACUAUAUUUUUAUGUA